rnacentral:rRNA from 1 species
CCCGCUGAACUUAAGCAUAUUAUUAAGCGGAGGAAAAGAAACUAAAAAGGAUGUCCUUAGUAGUGGCGAAUGAAUAGGACUAAGCUCAAAAUUAAAAUCUAGUCUUUUAGACUCGAAUUGUAGUUUUUCGAUCAUGUAUUACUGAAAUAUUUAUUGGAAUGUAAUUUCUUUGGAAUAGGAUAUCAGAGAGGGUGAGAAUCCCGUAUUUAAUUUCAAUUUGUAUUUCGAUUGUAUUAUAUGAAUGACGAGUCGGGUUGUUUGGGAUUGCAGCCCAAAUUAGGUGGUAGAUUUCAUCUAAAGCUAAAUAUCUCGGAGAGACCGAUAGCGAAGAAGUACUGUGAAGGAAAGGUGAAAAGAACUUUGAAAAGAAGGUUAAAAGUACUUGAAAUUGUUAAAAGGGAAACGAAUGAAACUAGUGUUCAUAUGUAUCACGAUUCAAUCUAUUAGGUAUAACUUUAUAAUAUAGCUUAGAGUUUUAUGGACCUAAAUAUAUUAUUAGGAAAUAUUUAAUGAUUCACUUCAUAUAUGUAUGAGUCAAUAUGAAUUUUUGAGUUUGGAGAAAGUAUUUAAUAAAGGUAGAUAUUUAUUUAUAUUCGUAUAAAUAAGUGUUGUUAUAGUAUUAAAUUCGCAUACAAUCUCAAAGAUUAAGGGAAAAAACAUAGGCUUUAGCAAAGUAAAUUUCUAGACCUGUUUGAAUAUGUUUUAUAUAAUUGCCUAGCAAUAUGUUUUAUAUAUUUUAAUAGCAAGGGAAUACUAUAUCUAUGUUAAAGAUAUUGACAAAAUAGUUUUAUUCGGCCCGUCUUGAAACACGG